rnacentral:tRNA from 1 species
GGGCCGUUGGUUCAGCGGUAGAACGCUUUCCUGAUAAGAAAGAAGUGCUAGGUUCGACUCCUAGACGGCCCACCC